UACAGAGGUCUCAAGCGUUGUUCGGAUUCAUUGGGCGUAAAGGGUGCGUAGGCGGCGCGGUAAGUCGGGUGUGAAAUCCCCGGGCUCAACCCGGGAACUGCGUCCGAUACUGGAAGGCUUGAAUCCGGGAGAGGGAUGCGGAAUUCCAGGUGUAGCGGUGAAAUGCGUAGAUAUCUGGAGGAACACCGGUGGCGAAGGCGGCAUCCUGGACCGGCAUUGACGCUGAGGCGCGAAAGCCAGGGGAGCAAACGGG
rnacentral:rRNA from 1 species